rnacentral:rRNA from 1 species
AACGGGUGAGUAACACGUAAGCAACCUGCCUUUAAGACGAGAAUAACAAUUGGAAACAGUUGCUAAGGCUGGAUAGGAAAUAAAAAGGAAUCUUUUUAUUUUUAAAAGACCUUUUUCGGAAGGUAUGCUUAAAGAGGGGCUUGCGUCACAUUAGUUAGUUGGUAGGGUAAAGGCCUACCAAGACGAUGAUGUGUAGCUGGACUGAGAGGUUGAACAGCCACAUUGGGACUGAGACACGGCCCAAACUCCUACGGGAGGCAGCAGUAGGGAAUUUUCGGCAAUGGAGGAAACUCUGACCGAGCAACGCCGCGUGAACGACGAAGUACUUCGGUAUGUAAAGUUCUUUUAUUGAAGAAGAAACAAUAGUGGAAAAACUAUCUUGACGUUAUUCAAUGAAUAAGCCCCGGCUAACUAUGUGCCAGCAGCCGCGGUAAUACAUAGGGGGCGAGCGUUAUCCGGAAUUAUUGGGCGUAAAGGGUGCGUAGGCGGUUUAAUAAGUCUCUAGUUUAAUUUCAACGCUUAACGUUGUCCUGCUAGAGAAACUGUUUAACUAGAGUGAGAUAGAGGUAAGCGGAAUUCCAUGUGUAGCGGUAAAAUGUGUAAAUAUAUGGAGGAACACCAGAGGCGUAGGCGGCUUACUGGGUCUUUACUGACGCUGAUGCACGAAAGCGUGGGGAGCAAACAGGAUUAGAUACCCUGGUAGUCCACGCCGUAAACUAUGAGUACUAAGUGUCGGGGUUAAACUCGGUACUGAAGUUAACACAUUAAGUACUCCGCCUGAGUAGUACGUACGCAAGUAUGAAACUUAAAGGAAUUGACGGGAUCCCGCACAAGCGGUGGAUCAUGUUGUUUAAUUCGAAGAUACACGAAAAACCUUACCAGGUCUUGACAUACUCUGCAAAGCUAUAGAAAUAUAGUGGAGGUUAUCAGGGAUACAGGUGGUGCAUGGUUGUCGUCAGCUCGUGUCGUGAGAUGUUAGGUUAAGUUCUAAAACGAGCGCAACCCCUGUCGUUAAUUGCCAGCACGUUAUGGUGGGGACUUUAGCGAGACUGCCAAUGAAAAAUUGGAGGAAGGUGGGGAUUACGUCAAAUCAUCAUGCCCCUUAUGAUCUGGGCUACAAACGUGAUACAAUGGCUAUUACAAAGAGUAGCUGAAACGCGAGUUUUCGGCAAAUCUCAAAAAAAUAGUCUCAGUUCGGAUUGAAGUCUGCAACUCGACUUCAUGAAGUUGGAAUCGCUAGUAAUCGCGAAUCAGCAUGUCGCGGUGAAUACGUUCUCGGGGUUUGUACACACCGCCCGUCAAACCACGAAAGUGGACAAUACCCGAAAGCGACAGCCUAACUGCGUAAGCAGAGGGAAUCGUCUAAGGUAGGGUCGAUGAUUGGGGUUAAGUCGUAACAAGGUAUCCCUACCGGAAGGUGGGGAUGGAUCACCUCCUUUCU